rnacentral:rRNA from 1 species
UACGAAGGGUGCAAGCGUUACUCGGAAUUACUGGGCGUAAAGCGUGCGUAGGUGGUUCGUUAAGUCUGUCGUGAAAUCCCCGGGCUCAACCUGGGAAUGGCGAUGGAUACUGGCGAGCUAGAGUGAGGUAGAGGAGAGUGGAAUUCCCGGUGUAGCAGUGAAAUGCGUAGAUAUCUGGAGGAAUACCGGUGGCGAAGGCGGCAUCCUGGACCAUUACUGACGCUGAGGCGCGAAAGCUAGGGGAGCAAACGGG